GCUGGGUGUGGUGGCACACACCUGUAAUCCCAGUUACUUGGGAGGCUGAGGCAGGAGAAUUGCUUGAACCUGGGAAUCGGAGGUUGCAGUGAGCCAAGAUCGUGCCACUGCACUCCAGCCUGGGUGACAGAGUGAGACUCUGCCUCAA
rnacentral:SRP_RNA from 1 species